CGGUUGAUCCUGCCGGACCCUACUGCUAUCGGGGUAGGACUAAGACAUGCGAGUCGAGCGUCUCCAAAGCUUUGUGAGACGCGGCAGACGGCUCAGUAACACGUGGCUAACCUACCCUCAGGACGGUUAUACACCCGGGAAACUGGGGCUAAUAACCGGUAAGAGAGGUAGGCUGGAAUGCUACCUCUCUCCAAGGACAAAGAAACAUGCUUUCUUUGUCGCCUGAGGAUGGGGCCGCGUCCGAUCAGGUUGUUGGUGAGGUAAUGGCUCACCAAGCCUUUAACCGGUACGGGCCAUGAGAGUGGUAGCCCGGAGAUGGGUACUGAGACAAGGACCCAGGCCCUACGGGGCGCAGCAGUCGCGAAAACUCCGCAAUGCACGAAAGUGUGACGGGGCUACCCCGAGUGCCGUCCGCUGAGGAUGGCUUUUCCUUGGUGUAACUAGCCGGGGGAAUAAGGAGAGGGCAAGACUGGUGUCAGCCGCCGCGGUAAUACCAGCUCUCCGAGUGGUAGGGAUGAUUAUUGGGCUUAAAGCGUCCGUAGCCGGCUUAGCAAGUUUCCUGUUAAAUUCAGCGACCUAAUCGUUGAGCCGCGGGAAAUACUACUAGGCUAGGAGGCGGGAGAGGUCGACGGUACUUCUGGGGUAGGGGUGAAAUCCUAUAAUCCCGGGAGGACCACCAGUGGCGAAGGCUGUCGACUAGAACGCGCUCGACGGUGAGGGACGAAAGCUGGGGGAGCGAACCGGAUUAGAUACCCGGGUAGUCCCAGCUGUAAACGAUGCGGGCUAGGUGUUGGGGUGGCUACGUGCCACUUCAGUGCCGCAGGGAAGCCAUUAAGCCCGCCGCCUGGGGAGUACGGCCGCAAGGCUGAAACUUAAAGGAAUUGGCGGGGGAGCAC
rnacentral:rRNA from 1 species